rnacentral:rRNA from 1 species
AGACACUAGGGUAAAUCAUGUUAAACAUCCCUAAACAAAGGGCUAAACCAAAUGAAAAUUACUCCCAUGUCUUUGGUUGGGGCGACCGCGGGGAAACACAAAACCCCCACGUGGAAUGGGACUACUCCCUCCUACAACUCAGAGCUUCCGCUCUAAUUAACAGAAUUUCUGACCAGCAAGAUCCGGCAACGCCGAUCGACGAACCGAGUUACCCCAGGGAUAACAGCGCAAUCCCCUUUUAGAGUCCAUAUCGACAAGGGGGUUUACGACCUCGAUGUUGGAUCAGGACAUCCUAAUGGUGCAGCCGCUAUUAAG